UAGUACGAGAGGACCGGAGUGGACGCAUCACUGGUGUUCGGGUUGUCAUGCCAAUGGCAUUGCCCGGUAGCUAAAUGCGGAAGAGAUAAGUGCUGAAAGCAUCUAAGCACGAAACUUGCCCCGAGAUGAGUUCUCCCUGAGACUAUAAGUCUCCUGAAGGAACGUUAAAGACGAUGACGUUGAUAGGUCGGGUGUGUAAGUGUAGCGAUACAUUGAGCUAACCGAUACUAAUGAACCGUGAGGCUUAACCUUACAACGCCGAAG
rnacentral:rRNA from 1 species